rnacentral:rRNA from 1 species
GUGCCAGCAGCCGCGGUAAUACGUAGGGGGCUAGCGUUGUCCGGAAUCAUUGGGCGUAAAGCGCGUGUAGGCGGCCCGGUAAGUCCGCUGUGAAAGUCGGGGGCUCAACCCUCGAAAGCCGGUGGAUACUGUCGGGCUCGAGUACGGAAGAGGCGAGUGGAAUUCCUGGUGUAGCGGUGAAAUGCGCAGAUAUCAGGAGGAACACCCAUUGCGAAGGCAGCUCGCUGGGACGUUACUGACGCUGAGACGCGAAAGCGUGGGGAGCAAACAGGAUUAGAAACCCGCGUAGUCC